AUGCGUGUCAUCGAUCUGUUUGGAAAUCUACAUGUGGGAAACCUCCAUUGGUUAAACUCCGCAAAUGUCAUCUUGCUGCCCAAAAAGGAAGGGGCGGAAGGAAUCUCCAACUAUAGGCCCAUUAGCCUCUUCCACGCCAUUGCCAAGAUUAUUGCUAAAGUGCUUGCCCUACGACUCGCCCCCCUCAUGAACAACCUUGUCACGCAUGCCCAAAGCGCGUUCAUUAAGGGACGAAGUAUCCACGAUAACUUCAUGUAUGUGCGAAAUCUCGCGCGACGGCUUCACAAGAGCAAGACUCAUUCCCUCCUCUUCAAGCUUGACAUCCGCAAAGCGUUCGACUCCGUGUGGUGGGAAUACAUCCUCGACCUCCUUCAAAGGAGAGGCUUCCCAAACAAGUUCAGGGAGUGGAUCACCGCUCUUCUUAAGACAUCUUCCUCGAGAAUGCUUCUAAAUGGGAUUCCCGGCAAUGCCAUCAAACACGGGAAGGGAUUUCGACAAGGAGAUCCACUAUCUCCUCUCCUCUUUGUCAUUGCCAUUGAUCCUCUCCAACAAGUUCUUAAUGUGGCCACUCGCUGCGGGAUUCUUCACAAGAUCAGAGGGCGUGGCACUUGCUUCCGGACCUCCCUUUAUGCGGACGACGCGGCUGUUUUUGUCAAGCCUUUAAAGGAGGAUGUUUCGAACCUUGCAACCAUCCUGGAUUGCUUUGGUCGGGCCACGGGAUUAUGCACAAACUUCUAG
rnacentral:rRNA from 1 species